rnacentral:rRNA from 1 species
AUUGAACGCUGGCGGCAGGCCUAACACAUGCAAGUCGAACGAGUGGCGGACGGGUGAGUAAUGUCUGGGAAACUGCCAGAUGGAGGGGGAUAAGUACUGGAAACGGUAGCUAAUACCGCAUACCAACAGAUGGUCCCAAAUGGGAUUAGCGUGUUGGUGGGGUAACGGCUAACAAAGGAGACGAUCCCUAGCUGGUCGGAGAGGAUGACCAUCCACCCUGGAACUGAGACCCGGUCCAGACUCCUCCGGGAGUCAGCAGUGGGGAAUUUUGCACAAUGGGCGCAAGCCUGAUGCAGCCAUGCCGCGUGUAUGAAGACGGCCUUCGGGUUGUAAAGUACUUUCAGCGGGGAGGCGUUACCCGCAGAAGAAGCACCGGCUAACUCCGUGCCAGCAGCCGCGGUAAUUC